ACUCCUACGGGAGGCAGCAGUGGGGAAUUUUGCGCAAUGGGCGAAAGCCUGACGCAGCAACGCCGCGUGAGUGAUGAAGGCUUUCGGGUCGUAAAGCUCUGUCGAGGGGAAAGAAAUGUAUUGUGGCUAAUAUCCGCGAUACUUGACGGUACCCCUAAAGGAAGCACCGGCUAACUCCGUGCCAGCAGCCGCGGUAAUACGGGGGGUGCAAGCGUUGUUCGGAAUUAUUGGGCGUAAAGCGCGUGUAGGCGGUUUGUUAAGUCUGAUGUGAAAGCCCUGGGCUCAACCCAGGAAGUGCAUUGGAUACUGGCAGACUUGAAUACGGGAGAGGGUAGUGGAAUUCCUGGUGUAGGAGUGAAAUCCGUAGAUAUCAGGAGGAACMCCGGUGGCGAAGGCGGCUSCCUGGACCGAUAUUGACGCUGAGACGSGAAAGCGUGGGUAGCAAACAGGAUUAGAUACCCUGGUAGUCCACSCCGUAAACGAUGAGAACUAGGUGUUGCGGGUAUUGACCCCUGCAGUGCCGCAGCUAACSCAUUAAGUUCUCCSCCUGGGAAGUACGGUCGCAAGACUAAAACUCAAAUGAAUUGACGG
rnacentral:rRNA from 1 species